rnacentral:rRNA from 1 species
GGGAGGCAGCAGUGGGGGAAUAUUGCACAAUGGGGGGAAACCCUGAUGCAGCGACGCCGCGUGAGCGAUGAAGGAAUUCGUUUCGUAAAGCUCUGUCCAAGGGGAAGAUAAUGACAGUACCCUUGGAGGAAGCCCCGGCUAAAUACGUGCCAGCAGCCGCGGUAAUACGUAUGGGGCGAGCGUUGUCCGGAAUUAUUGGGCGUAAAGGGUACGUAGGCGGUUAGAUAAGUCAGAUGUAAAAGCGUGGGGCUCAACCCCAUAAAGCAUUUGAAACUGUAUAACUUGAGUAGUGGAGAGGAAAGUGGAAUUCCUAGUGUAGCGGUGAAAUGCGUAGAUAUUAGGAGGAAUACCAGUGGCGAAGGCGACUUUCUGGACACAAACUGACGCUGAGGUACGAAAGCAUGGGAGCAAACAGGAUAGAUACCUGGUAGUCCAUGCCGUAACGAUGAAUGCUAGGUGUCGGGGGUCG